ACGCGGUUUCCCCGCAAGGGGAAACUGAGUGGCGAACGGGUGAGUAACACGUGGGUGACCUACCUUCGAGUGGGGGAUAACGUCCCGAAAGGGACGCUAAUACCGCAUAACAUCCUGUCCUUGAACGGACGGAGAUCAAAGCCGGGGAUCGUAAGACCUGGCGCUUGAUGAGGGGCCCGCGUCCGAUUAGCUAGUUGGUGAGGUAAUGGCUCGCCAAGGCAACGAUCGGUAGCCGGCCUGAGAGGGCGGACGGCCACACUGGGACUGAGACGCGGCCCAGACUCCUACGGGAGGCAGCAGUGGGGAAUUGUUCGCAAUGGGCGCAAGCCUGACGACGCAACGCCGCGUGGAGGAUGAAGGUCUUCGGAUUGUAAACUCCUGUUGCCUGGGACGAAUGGCUCCAACCUAAUACGUUGGAGUGUGACGGUACCAGGUGAGGAAGCCCCGGCUAACUCUGUGCCAGCAGCCGCGGUAAUACAGAGGGGGCAAGCGUUG
rnacentral:rRNA from 1 species